rnacentral:rRNA from 1 species
UACGUAGGGGGCAAGCGUUGUCCGGAUUUAUUGGGCGUAAAGAGCGUGUAGGCGGCCACACAGGUCAGCUGUGAAAACUCGAGGCUCAACCUCGAGACGUCGGUUGAAACCGUAUGGCUAGAGUCCGGAAGAGGAGAGUGGAAUCCCCGGUGUAGCGGUGAAAUGCGCAGAUAUCGGGAAGAACACCCGUGGCGAAGGCGGCUCUCUGGGACGGUACUGACGCUGAGACGCGAAAGCGUGGGGAGCGAACAGG